rnacentral:lncRNA from 1 species
UUUUUUUUUUUUGCCCCUUUUAUGUCCUGUAGAUAACCUUAUGGUGUCUCAUUAACAGCAGGAAGAAUUUCUUCCAAUGCGUCAUUACAAUGAGCUUUAAUAUGAAAGUGAGACUUCAAUAUUAUCAGUGGUACAAUGCUCACAUUUGGAGGCCAAUCCCACAUUGAGAGCUGAGCUGAGUAGAAAGAAUAGGAAAACAAUUAAUUUCUCUAAUUACAUUUUACCUUAUCCCACGUAGUGUAAAACAAAACAAAAACAAAACAAAACAAGACAAAACAACCAACCAGACAAACCAAAAGCCCCAAGAAGAGCAGGGGCAAGAAAGAAAGAGGAGGAAGAUCAGAGACAGGGGAAAAGAGAGAGAGUACUAAAAUGUCUUUCCUCUAGGGCAUUGUCUUUAACUCUCUGGGCAGGAAGGGCCUGGUAAUUAAACGCUGUAGCUAUGUGUUACUAAUGAGAGUACUACCCUACACCCAAGCCGGGUCCACCUAAGUCGGUCUUACAGGCUGCUCAAUUUCAGCACAGAGUACAUUUAGCACAGAGCAGAGUGACUAAUGAGCAGUCCUUGAAGCAAAAGAAAACCAAGGAUGUUUUCAAUCAUCGGAUUUUGCUACCACACACUUACUGCUGCUGAUUACAUUUGUCCUUGGGGCACUGUUUAAAGAUCUGCU